UUAAGUCCCGCAACGAGCGUAACCCCUACGUUUAGUUGCUAACGCGUGAAGGCGAGCACUCUAGACGAACUGCCGUUGACAAAACGGAGGAAGGUGGGGAUGACGUCAAAUCAUCAUGCCCCUUAUGUUCUGGGCUACACACGUGCUACAAUGGCCGGUACAGACGGACGCAAAGCCGCGAGGUGGAGCAAAUCCUAAAAAGCCGGUCUCAGUUCGGAUUGCAGGCUGCAAUUCGCCUGCAUGAAGUCGGAAUCGCUAGUAAUCGCAGGUCAGCAUACUGCGGUGAAUACGUUCCCGGGCCUU
rnacentral:rRNA from 1 species